rnacentral:rRNA from 1 species
AGAGUUUGAUCAUGGCUCAGAUUGAACGCUGGCGGCAGGCCUAACACAUGCAAGUCGAGCGGUAGCACAGAGAGCUUGCUCUCGGGUGACGAGCGGCGGACGGGUGAGUAAUGUCUGGGAAACUGCCUGAUGGAGGGGGAUAACUACUGGAAACGGUAGCUAAUACCGCAUAACGUCGCAAGACCAAAGUGGGGGACCUUCGGGCCUCAUGCCAUCAGAUGUGCCCAGAUGGGAUUAGCUAGUAGGUGGGGUAAUGGCUCACCUAGGCGACGAUCCCUAGCUGGUCUGAGAGGAUGACCAGCCACACUGGAACUGAGACACGGUCCAGACUCCUACGGGAGGCAGCAGUGGGGAAUAUUGCACAAUGGGCGCAAGCCUGAUGCAGCCAUGCCGCGUGUAUGAAGAAGGCCUUCGGGUUGUAAAGUACUUUCAGCGAGGAGGAAGGCAUUAAGGUUAAUAACCUUGGUGAUUGACGUUACUCGCAGAAGAAGCACCGGCUAACUCCGUGCCAGCAGCCGCGGUAAUACGGAGGGUGCAAGCGUUAAUCGGAAUUACUGGGCGUAAAGCGCACGCAGGCGGUCUGUCAAGUCGGAUGUGAAAUCCCCGGGCUCAACCUGGGAACUGCAUUCGAAACUGGCAGGCUAGAGUCUUGUAGAGGGGGGUAGAAUUCCAGGUGUAGCGGUGAAAUGCGUAGAGAUCUGGAGGAAUACCGGUGGCGAAGGCGGCCCCCUGGACAAAGACUGACGCUCAGGUGCGAAAGCGUGGGGAGCAAACAGGAUUAGAUACCCUGGUAGUCCACGCCGUAAACGAUGUCGACUUGGAGGUUGUGCCCUUGAGGCGUGGCUUCCGGAGCUAACGCGUUAAGUCGACCGCCUGGGGAGUACGGCCGCAAGGUUAAAACUCAAAUGAAUUGACGGGGGCCCGCACAAGCGGUGGAGCAUGUGGUUUAAUUCGAUGCAACGCGAAGAACCUUACCUACUCUUGACAUCCAGAGAACUUAGCAGAGAUGCUUUGGUGCCUUCGGGAACUCUGAGACAGGUGCUGCAUGGCUGUCGUCAGCUCGUGUUGUGAAAUGUUGGGUUAAGUCCCGCAACGAGCGCAACCCUUAUCCUUUGUUGCCAGCGAUUAGGUCGGGAACUCAAAGGAGACUGCCAGUGAUAAACUGGAGGAAGGUGGGGAUGACGUCAAGUCAUCAUGGCCCUUACGAGUAGGGCUACACACGUGCUACAAUGGCAUAUACAAAGAGAAGCGACCUCGCGAGAGCAAGCGGACCUCAUAAAGUAUGUCGUAGUCCGGAUUGGAGUCUGCAACUCGACUCCAUGAAGUCGGAAUCGCUAGUAAUCGUAGAUCAGAAUGCUACGGUGAAUACGUUCCCGGGCCUUGUACACACCGCCCGUCACACCAUGGGAGUGGGUUGCAAAAGAAGUAGGUAGCUUAACCUUCGGGAGGGCGCUUACCACUUUGUGAUUCAUGACUGGGGUGAAGUCGUAACAAGGUAACCGUAGGGGAACCUGCGGUUG